UACGGAGGAGGCAAGCGUUAUCCGGAAUUAUUGGGCGUAAAGCGUCCGCAGGUGGCACCUCAAGUCUGCUGUCAAAGACCGGGCUUAACCCCAGAAAGGCAGUGGAAACUGAAGUGCUAGAGUGCAGUAGGGGUAGAGGGAAUUCCCGGUGUAGCGGUGAAAUGCGUAGAGAUCGGGAAGAACAUCGGUGGCGAAAGCGGCUACUCUGGGAGCGGUACUGACGCUGAGACGCGAAAGCGUGGGGAGCG
rnacentral:rRNA from 1 species